rnacentral:rRNA from 1 species
AGAGUUUGAUCCUGGCUCAGGACGAACGCUGGCGGCGUGCCUAACACAUGCAAGUCGAGCGAUGAAGUUUCCUUCGGGAAAUGGAUUAGCGGCGGACGGGUGAGUAACACGUGGGUAACCUGCCUUAUAGUGGGGGAUAGCCUUUCGAAAGGAAGAUUAAUACCGCAUAAGAUUGUAGUAUCGCAUGAUAUAGCAAUUAAAGGAGCAAUUCGCUAUAAGAUGGACCCGCGUCGCAUUAGCUAGUUGGUGAGGUAAUGGCUCACCAAGGCGACGAUGCGUAGCCGACCUGAGAGGGUGAUCGGCCACAUUGGGACUGAGACACGGCCCAGACUCCUACGGGAGGCAGCAGUGGGGAAUAUUGCACAAUGGGCGAAAGCCUGAUGCAGCAACGCCGCGUGAGUGAUGACGGCCUUCGGGUUGUAAAACUCUGUCUUCAGGGACGAUAAUGACGGUACCUGAGG